rnacentral:rRNA from 1 species
AUUGAACGCUGGCGGCAUGCCUUACACAUGCAAGUCGAACGGCAGCACGGGUGCUUGCACCUGGUGGCGAGUGGCGAACGGGUGAGUAAUACAUCGGAACAUGUCCUGUAGUGGGGGAUAGCCCGGCGAAAGCCGGAUUAAUACCGCAUACGAUCUACGGAUGAAAGCGGGGGCCCUUCGGGCCUCGCGCUAUAGGGUUGGCCGAUGGCUGAUUAGCUAGUUGGUGGGGUAAAGGCCUACCAAGGCGACGAUCAGUAGCUGGUCUGAGAGGACGACCAGCCACACUGGGACUGAGACACGGCCCAGACUCCUACGGGAGGCAGCAGUGGGGAAUUUUGGACAAUGGGCGAAAGCCUGAUCCAGCAAUGCCGCGUGUGUGAAGAAGGCCUUCGGGUUGUAAAGCACUUUUGUCCAGAAAGAAAUCCUUGGCCCUAAUACGGUCGGGGGAUGACGGUACCGGAAGAAUAAGCACCGGCUAACUACGUG